ACGCUCGACACCUACGGGGGGCAGCAGUGGGGAAUAUUGCACAAUGGGGGAAACCCUGAUGCAGCGACGCCGCGUGAAGGAAGAAGUAUUUCGGUAUGUAAACUUCUAUCAGCAGGGAAGAAAAUGACGGUACCUGACUAAGAAGCCCCGGCUAACUACGUGCCAGCACGCCGGCGGUAAUCUGAGGCGGGCUGGACAAGGC
rnacentral:rRNA from 1 species